AUUGAACGCUGGCGGCAGGCCUAACACAUGCAAGUCGAGCGGAUGAAGGGAGCUUGCUCCUGGAUUCAGCGGCGGACGGGUGAGUAAUGCCUAGGAAUCUGCCUGGUAGUGGGGGAUAACGUCCGGAAACGGGCGCUAAUACCGCAUACGUCCCGAGGGAGAAAGUGGGGGAUCUUCGGACCUCACGCUAUCAGAUGAGCCUAGGUCGGAUUAGCUAGUUGGUGGGGUAAAGGCCUACCAAGGCGACGAUCCGUAACUGGUCUGAGAGGAUGAUCAGUCACACUGGAACUGAGACACGGUCCAGACUCCUACGGGAGGCAGCAGUGGGGAAUAUUGGACAAUGGGCGAAAGCCUGAUCCAGCCAUGCCGCGUGUGUGAAGAAGGUCUUCGGAUUGUAUAGCACUUUAAGUUGGGAGGAAGGGCAGUAAGUUAAUACCUUGCUGUUUUGACGUUACCAACAGAAUAAGCACCGGCUAACUUCGUG
rnacentral:rRNA from 1 species